UACGUAGGGGGCGAGCGUUGUCCGGAAUCAUUGGGCGUAAAGCGCGUGUAGGCGGCCCGAUAAGUCCGCCGUGAAAGUCCAGGGCUCAACCCUGGAAUGCCGGUGGAAACUGUCGGGCUGGAGUCCGGAAGAGGCGAGUGGAAUUCCUGGUGUAGCGGUGAAAUGCGCAGAUAUCAGGAGGAACACCAAUGGCGAAGGCAGCUCGCUGGGACGGUACUGACGCUGAGACGCGAAAGCGUGGGGAGCAAACAGG
rnacentral:rRNA from 1 species